GAGACCCACGCCCACAGUUGCCAGCGUACUCUCCGGAGUGACGGGUACACUGUGGGGACCGCCGCUGCUAAAGCGGAGGAAGGAAUGGGCAACGGUAGGUCAGUAUGCCCCGAAUAUCCCGGGCUACACGCGAGCUACAAUGGUUGGUACAAUGGGUAUCUACCCCGAAAGGGGACGGAAAUCUCCUACCGCCAAUCUUAGUUCGGAUCGAGGGCUGCAACUCGCCCUCGUGAAGCUGGAAUCCGUAGUAAUCGCACAUCAACAGUGUGCGGUGAAUAC
rnacentral:rRNA from 1 species